GAAAACUUGAACAGAUUUUGUACAGAAGAAAGAUUCUUUGAUCAAAAAUAUGUCAGGAUUUCUUUCAAAAGCAGCUACGUUUGGUCAAAGGACAGUUGCCUUGGGACUGAGUUCCCUGUCUGUUUGUCUUUUGGUUUUAUCGUUCAGAGGAGCGUACAUCAUGAGGCAGAAACGACUUGAAAGAGUAAGACUUAUGCAAUUAGAUGAAAAUUCAGAAGAAAAAGUAAAGGAACAAAUAUAGCUCAAAUGGUUGGACGACAAUGUAUGAAGCGUUGAGUGGGUUGCCUGUGCUUUCUGUAAGAUGAUCUUUCAUGAAGGAAAACUUCCAUUGUAUGAGAGAAAUGCCACUUCUCCCAUAAUAUUUUUUUCUUUGUUGAUGGGUCGAAAGCAUUCGGAGUGUCAAAAGACAAAGACAUGACAGCCAUCAAGUGGCACUAACAUGGCUGUGAUGACAUAACAUGCAAUCAAAUGUGAUGUUACUUAAAUUCAAACCUUAUUUUUUUCAUGAAAUUUCACUAUGCUGGUUAUGUGUCAUAGAAAGAACCAAACUUUUGCCAAAUCAAACAUCUUCAAGGAACUUAAGAAUUUUAUAUAUAAUAACCCAGCUUUCAGGCUAAGUGCCUAUCAUCAGGGUAAAAUGCAGUGUUGUACAACUUUGUAAAUCCAAUUUAUACAUGAUACAUAAAGAUAAAAGUGAUCUAUAUGUUCACCCCACUUAUACGUAAUAUGGUCUUGUGGCAUUCUUUCUGGAGCGGAAAAAAAGCGAAACUAUGACGGACACAUGGUUGUCAAGGAGACCCCAGAAACAGAAAAGAAUAAAACAACAAUUCCUUUUUUA